rnacentral:siRNA from 1 species
GCUGAUGUGUUGAGUGUAAUGGU